rnacentral:rRNA from 8 species
AGAGUUUGAUCCUGGCUCAGGAUGAACGCUGGCGGCGUGCCUAACACAUGCAAGUUGAGCGAUUUACUUCGGUAAAGAGCGGCGGACGGGUGAGUAACGCGUGGGUAACCUACCCUGUACACACGGAUAACAUACCGAAAGGUAUGCUAAUACGGGAUAAUAUAUUUGAGAGGCAUCUCUUGAAUAUCAAAGGUGAGCCAGUACAGGAUGGACCCGCGUCUGAUUAGCUAGUUGGUAAGGUAACGGCUUACCAAGGCGACGAUCAGUAGCCGACCUGAGAGGGUGAUCGGCCACAUUGGAACUGAGACACGGUCCAAACUCCUACGGGAGGCAGCAGUGGGGAAUAUUGCACAAUGGGCGAAAGCCUGAUGCAGCAACGCCGCGUGAGUGAUGAAGGCCUUCGGGUCGUAAAACUCUGUCCUCAAGGAAGAUAAUGACGGUACUUGAGGAGGAAGCCCCGGCUAACUACGUGCCAGCAGCCGCGGU